CCUACGGGAGGCAGCAGUAGGGAAUCUUCCACAAUGGGCGAAAGCCUGAUGGAGCAACGCCGCGUGGGUGAAGAAGGUCUUCGGAGCGUAAAACCCUGUUGUUAGAGAAGAAAGUGCGUGAGAGUAACUGUUCACGUUUCGACGGUAUCUAACCAGAAAGCCACGGCUAACUACGUGACAGCAGCCGCGGUAAGACGUAGGUGGCAAGCGUUAUCCGGAUUUAUUGGGCGUAAAGGGAACGCAGGCGGUCUUUUAAGUCUGAUGUGAAAGCCUUCGGCUUAACCGGAGUAGUGCAUUGGAAACUGGGAGACUUGAGUGCAGAAGAGGAGAGUGGAACUCCAUGUGUAGCGGUGAAAUGCGUAGAUAUAUGGAAGAACACCAGUGGCGAAAGCGGCUCUCUGGUCUGUAACUGACGCUGAGGUUCGAAAGCGUGGGUAGCAAACAGGAUUAGAUACCCCAGUAGUC
rnacentral:rRNA from 1 species